AGGGGGCGAACGGGCCGCAGGCUCGCCACGGCGACCGCGGCGGGGAAGUCCGGGCCCGUACUUUCGGCUAGAACACCCGGGCUUCCAGCGGCGCCGCGCCCCCGCCCGCCGGCUCGCGCUUUCGGACGGUGACGCAGCCGUCCGGGUACGCAGAAAUCUGCGCGGAAGCCGGGAACCUCCCGGGCCGCCGGCGUCUCCCCGCCGCCCCCGCGCUGCCCGCAGCCAGCGCCUGCCCCGGGGCCUCAGCGGGGGUCGCCCGGGGAGCCCAAGGCGGGACGUGCUCUCUGGGCUCAGGCUCGCUGAUACAUCUUCGGUCGGGUUCAUCACUCAUGUCACUGCCUUAGUGACGUGCGUACUAUUAUUAGCGUCACUUAGAGGUGAGGAAACAGGCUCAAAAAAUAUCAAGUUACGUGCUUGAAGUCAAACAGAAGGCAGAGCUGCGAAGCAAAUCCAGCGCUCCCGGGGACAUCUGGGCACUCACCCUUCUAACACUGGAGAGGGGAUGCAGUCAUUUUAGGUCAGUACCCUCUUUGACAGAUGAAAGAUUUAAUUCACUCCAUGGGAAAAUCACCUACCCCCAUCUCCAUCUAACUAGUGACAGACGGCGAACUAGGGGCCCUGUCUCCUGGAAGCAUGCAAGGGCUCUUGCCACCUCACCUCCCUUUUCCUCCCAGAAGCUUCAGAACAGCUCUGAGGCCAGAACGUGACUUUCUCAGAGACCUGAUGACGGUGAUGUGGGCGGAGACCUCCGGGAAGGAGGAGGAAGUCAAGUCACCGGGUUCGGCAGCUGGCCUGUUUGCCGUGCCCUAGAGAGGGACCCAGCACCUCAGGCGUGGAGCCAGCCCUACCAGCCUGGGCCUCUUUGCUGGCUGGGUCCCCUUUUGGAAGAGCGGCAGCCCAGUAAAAGAUAAAGAGAGAGAGAGAGAGAGAGAGAGAGAGAGAGAGAGAGAGUGUGUGUGUGUGUGUGUGUGUGUGUGUAGGGGGAGUGGCUUCUGGCUGUGGAAUGUCCAAGUACAUGUGGAUUAGGAUAGGAAGGAAUACGCUGGCUUUUGAAUUUUCUCCUAGAUGGGACAGAGUCCUUCCAUGGCAAAUGAUUUCAGGGUCAGCACAGAAUUUUGAGAGGAGUUUAUCUUGAAAAGUGAAGGAUGCUAAUGCAAGUUUUCUAACAUUGCCAAAUUUGGGGAACUGUUUGGGUUUUAAAAUCACUGAGCCCUGGAGCAGCUGUUUUUUCCUUACAAGCCUCUGUUUUGUGAAAUGAGGCUAAAAUACCUGGGCAGCCCUUUUCCCUUGGGCACCCUGGAAUGCUGAGACUAUGAAUGGCAUCUCAGAAGAGUUGGAGCUCCAAAGGGAAGUCGGACCACGAAAGGACAGGACUCUCUCCUUUGAAAACAAAGUUCUCCGUUUUUCAAUCACAAAAGUAAUUACUACUCAUCGUAUACAAGUUAGAUUUUUUUUUUUUGGAAUCAGAAAGAAGAUAAAAAAACAUUGAAAUCCGACAUCCAGGAAACCACUGUUGAUAAUUCGAUGUAUAGCAUUAAUGUAAGCAGAGUGAACACACUCCUUUUUUCCUUGAACAGCCUUUUUUCCUUGAAUAAAAUAUCAUGACAUGCCACUAAA